GCUUGCCACAGUGAUGCUGAGUAUGAGGAUGCCUUUGACUGAAGACCAGCCCACCUACAGCGGACUCGUGAUGUUUGUUUUAGAAACAACUGAAGUACUCAUGUCGAUUGAAGAAAGAAUGGGAAUAGCUAAGUGAC